CUCAGACUCCGACGCUGAGGACUCCGCCGGCUCGGAGGCCGCCGCGAGAGCCCGGGACCCAGCGGGUGAGCGCAGGGCGGCUGCCGAGGCGUUGCGGCUGCUGCGGCCGGAGCAGGUCCUGAAGCGCCUCGCGGUGUGCGUGGACACAGCCAUCCUGGAAGACGCCGGUGCCGACGUCCUGAUGGAGGCCCUGGAGGCCCUGGGCUGCGAGUGCCGCAUCGAGCCCCAGCGCCCGGCCCGCAGCCUGCGGUGGACCCGAGCGAGUCCCGACCCCUGCCCCCGCAGCCUGCCUCCUGAAGUGUGGGCUGCAGGUGAACAGGAAUUGCUGCUGCUGCUGGAGCCCAAGGAGUUUCUGCAGGGCGUCGCCACACUGACCCAGAUCUCUGGCCCAACCCGCUGGGUGCCCUGGAUCUCCCCCGAGACCACCGCCCGGCCCCACCUGGCUGUCAUCGGGCUGGAUGCCUACCUGUGGUACCGCUCACUCUCAUGCCCACAGCAGGGCUGGCUGGGACGGGAGUUCAGGGGAGGUGGGCACACUUCUGGGGUUGCUGUGGCACAGCUGAUCCCACUUCCCCAGGUGGGCUCUGGCAGAGGCCAAGCUUGGGCAGGGCAGGCCCCAUGGGGAGCGGGGAGGAACGGUCACCUCUGCUCAGGUCUCGCCAGCACGUUUCCCGGGGGACACAGCAGCCAGAGAGCCCGAAGGUGGCCGGUGCCGAGGUGGCCGUCAGCUGGCCGGAGGUGGAAGAGGCCCUGGUACUCCUGCAGCUCUGGGCAAACCUGGACGUGCUACUGGUGGCCUCUUGGCAGGAGCUGAGUCGGCACGUGUGCGCCAUGACCAAGGCUCUCGCCCAGUAUCCCCUCAAGCAGUACCGGGAAUCCCAGGCCUUCUCCUUCUGCACAGCAGGGCGCUGGGCAGCCAGCGAGCCAGUGGCAAGAGACGGCACAGGGCUGCAGGCGGCCUGGCGGAGGCAGAUCAGGCAGUUCAGUCGGGUCAGCCCAGCUGUGGCUGAUGCAGUUGUCACAGCCUUCCCCUCCCCCCGCCUUCUGCAGCAGGCGCUGGAGGCCUGCAGCACGGAGCGGGAGCGCAUGGGCCUCCUGGCCGACCUUCCUGUGCUGCCCAGUGAAGGUGGGCGUCCCCGCAGGGUGGGGCCUGACCUCUCCCGCCGCAUCUGCCUCUUCCUGACCACAGCCAACCCUGAUCUCCUGCUGGACCUGGGCUCCUGAGCACACGUGGGACCACCAGGACAGCAUGCAGCCUUGGGGACAGACCAGACACCCUGGGCGGUGGGGGAGGACCCCCAGCCACAUGUGGACCCUCAGCCUGGGUGGGUUCUCUGGCUGAGCAGGUCUGACCUCAGGGGGAGGGUGGGUGGUUGCAGAGGAAGUUUUAGGUAGCUGGGAGGAGAAGAGGGGCUUCUGGCAGGCAGAUGGCUGGCGGUUCCUGUGCUGAGUCCUGAACACGUAGGCCCCAGGGGAGCUCAGCAGCAGGGCUGUGCCCCCCACCCCCCCACACACUCGGCAGGGACCAGAAGGCAGCUCCAGUGCCCCACUGCCACCUGGAGGCUUGGGGUGUGGCACCCUCAGCCAGAAGCAGUAGGGGACUCCCAAGGAUGUGGAGGGGCAGUGAGGCCUGGGAGAAGGCCCAGGCUGCUCGCAAACCCGGCCUCUGCACGGAUACGUUUCAGCUCACGCCAUGUGGGUGUUAGACAUCAACUCUACGUUUAUUGCAGUCCUUUAAGUCUAUGACGGCAGGGCAGCCGCUGACAGCAUGCAGAGCAAGUUAGGAAAAACCGAGGCCCUGUGGGAACGGCAACGCGGGCUCCAGCCAGGCUCUCGUCCUCGCAGCCUCCCACAAGACCUGGGGCUCAGGGCAGCCGCUUCCCCACCCAGCACAGCAGCAGAGGAGCCCUAGAGCCCCCCCAGAAAGGACUGUCCCAGCCUCGGGAGCAAGAGAUGGCUCCCUCCGGACGGGCCUCAUCCAACUCCGCCCUGGAGUGUGGCUGGAAGGAAGGGACAGAGAAAGAAGGGACGGAGGAAAGGGGCUGUCCUAGCCCAAGAAGGCAGUUCCACUGGGGCAGUCAGUCAGAUCCGGCGGCAGCGCUUCCUCUGGCAGGGCCGAGGCUCGCGACUGCUGGGGUGGGCCGAGGUCGCUGCCUGGGGAUCGGACGCUGGAGCCUUGCGGCGGCUGCAGCUCAUGCUCAGGACCCAGCCCAGCUUGUUGUGUAGCACCUGCUUGAGGCCCGGCGGCAGCGGCAGACCCUCCAGCGUGUCUCCCGAGUCUGGCCGCAGCUGGCGCAGGCGGUGGCAGCACAGGUACUGGAGGGAGGUGGCGCUGGCGCAGGAGCGGGUGACCUUCAUGCUGCUCCGGGCCGCCGUGGAGCACACCAUCGGGUAGAACCUCUUGUUCUGCAGCUUGGUGGCUGCCACACCUGGAAGGGAGGGGCCCGGCCUGAACCCCAGGCAGGGAAGGGGCCAGCUACUGGGCGCGGCCCCUCAGACCUCACGCUACAGUCACCCGGGUGGGCAGCUGGCACAGCUGAGGCAAGGCAGGGUGCAUGCGCUGGCCCUGCCACUCCAGCCUGGCCUCACUGUCCCACCCCCUGGGACCCUGGGGCCUCAGGCUUCUGGGAGGAACCCUUUCGGAAAACCUCAGUGUCCACUGGGCUGGGGUGCGGUGGCCGCCUCCCUCGGGGUGACAGCUGAGAAGAGCUCAAGACCUGUGGCAGCCUCACCUAUACACUUCCUGUUCUUGAAAAAGGUGAGCGUGCCAUGCCAGGUGUCCAGGUGCACGCCAAUGAUGGAGCCCUGGCCGAACCGCGACGAGAAGCUGGUCUUGUCGCCCUUGUGGUGGAGGAGGCCUGGGGGCAGCCAGGGUCGCAGUGAGCCCGGGAGCUCCAGGCUCGGCCCCGCCCCACCCUGGGCCUCACGCACCCGUGUAGGAGAGGCCCCAGCUGUCCUCAUCCCUGCCCAGCAGGCUGCAGAACGUGUGGCGGUAUUUGUCCAGGUCCACAUCCGACGUCCCGAUGCCCACCAUCUAGGAACGGGGGCCAGGCAGAGGGCGCGGGGCUGGGCUGCCGGAGCCAGGUUCCCCAGAAGCACCCUGGGCUGAAGCAACUUACCAUGUCGGUGCCGUAGACGGGAGAGGUCAUCUUGAUCUCCCAGAAGUGCUGGCCCUCCCCCAGCUCCUUGGUGCCCCGGAUGGCCGCUGUGCCGCAGCUGUACUCCAUGUGGAAGCUGACCUUACGGUUGUCACAGCUCAGCAGGGUGGCUGAUGACUUAUUCAAGUCAUCCCAGACCCAGUCGAAAUCUGCAAGAGAGGCCCAGGCUGGGGCAGCCCUGAGAGCUCCAUGGGGCUCUGCCCUGCCCGCCCCCAGGCCCGCCCGCAGUGCAGUCCCAGCAGGGGCUGGGCCCCACGCUCACACUCGUCUUCCUCUCCACAGCGGCAGUCCUUGCCCCGGUGGGCCGAGUGCAGGCUGCUACAGAAGGAGGCCUCGCUCUGCCCAGCACAGUCACAGAAGGACUCGCCGGUCACGGGCACUGCACUGGGGAUGGAUGGCGGCAGCGUGGAGUACUCGGGGUCGGAGUCCGAGUCGCUGUGCUGGGAGAGAAGGGCCGGCUGUUCCUACCUGUUGCCAGCUCUCUACCCUCUCACGCUUGCCCUCUGUCCCUGUCCCACCCUGUCCCUGACCCACCCAGGAAAGGAUGAGGGUCCAGGCCUCCAGGGACUUCACAGUACCCCGAGCGCACAGCCCAGGCUCCUUCCCAACAGGCUCCGGCUCUGCCCCAUUCUGCAUGACCAGGAGGGCCCCGGAGGCCCAGCCACUGAGCAGUAGCCAAGGCUGCCUGGCCUCCAAGUGGUUUCUAGAUGGUGGAUAAGCCCCAGGUCCACCCCACCUGCCCAGAGCUGAGAUGGUGUGGACACCUUCCCUGCUAGGCCAGCCCUGCAGGGGCCCCCAGGCAAGGCCACCACCCCCACACCAGGCCCAGCUGCAGCCACCUGGCCUCAGGGCAGUCCCCACCACACUGUGGCCCAACGACCUUCCUGUUACCUGAGCAGACCUGGCUCACCACAGGGUCCUACUGCCCAGUGCCCACUACAGGCCCCGCCCCUCCUGGUGCAGGUUUCAGCUGUCACCUCCCUGAGGCUUCUCCAGCCCCUUCACCCCUGUUCCAUUUUUCUUCUUUUGCUUCACUGAAGUUCUCCUUGGUCCUGAUUAUUGGCCUCCUCCCACCAGAAUGUGAGCUCCUUGUGGGAGGCAGUGCCCCUCCCCAGCCUCCUCCCUGUCACAGGCUGUGUGGGGGCCACCCAGGGGCUGAAUGGACUGGGGGGUCAGCAGGGAGAGUGCUAAGUGGUGGCGGGGGGCCUGUGGCAGAGGCCUUGUGACAGUGAGGGUUGAGGGCUGGUCCAGAGAGGUGAUGUGAUCCCCAGGAGAAGCCACAGGGGACCAUGACAUGGGCGCCACCAGCUUCCAGGUGAACGUGGACCUAUCCAAAGCCAGCUUCAGGGCAGGACACUGUCCUCUCUGGAGGGGAUGGCCCCACCCCACAGACAAGGCAGGCCCAGACAACUCUACCCCACUGCCUAGAAGUGCGGGUCCUCAGAGCCAGGGUAGACCCCCUGAGUCAGGAGCCCGGGCACAGAACUGAGCACUUGCACUGCAGGCCCAGGGCCAGGUUCCCUGGAGAAGGAGAAAGACUGAAUGCCACUGCCUACCUCCUGCCCACAACACACUGCAAGCCCAUUUGGUGACACAGGACAAGCAGCACAUGUGUUGAACACUGCCGAGCCCGCAGGCACGCCUGCAUCCCACAGCCACGAGCCUGUGAGGCUCAGGCAUGUGACCUGCAGGAGCUGUAGGCGGGCGGGAAGGCAGGUGGGGGCCUCUCCCUGGCUGGAGCAGGGAGCUCCAGGAGACCUCAGGACGGCCCCCACCCGGUGGGUAAGGACCCUGUUGCCCAAUUUGCCCCCAAGGCCUAAUGGACCCACCGGGCUUAGGGAGUCCUCACUCGGAGGAGAGGAGCCCACCCCUCCCAGGACACCUGGCUGAGCCGGAACAGCAGCGCAGGGGAGCUGUGACAGCAGAGAGCAGCACCAGGUCACACAAGCAGCCGCCCCGGAAGGACACAGCCCAUGGUGACAGAGGACAAGCAGCAUGCGUGUGUCAGACACUGGCCUGGCCUGUGGACACGCCCGCAUCCCACAGCCAUGACCCUGCAAGGCCAGGAGAGACUGCUCCAGGGCACAUGACCUGUGGCAGCUGGAAAUGGGGCAGGGAGGCGCAGCCACACUCCUGCUCUGGUCCGAGGGAGAUCUCAGGAAACCGACUGGGAAAUCACCCCCCACAGGGACCCCCACCCCUCCCAGCCUCACUGCGCCCCGUCAGGCCAGGCAGCUGCCCUCAGGGUCUGCCAAGGUGGGGGUCAGGGGCCAUGGGUGCAGGUAGCUCUGCCUGCAAAGCCCACAAGCAUGUCAGAUCACCUGGGCUGCAGACAGACAAACACCUGAGCUGUUCUGAAUACCUUCAGGUUCCUGGCCUCCCUGAGCAAGUGCAGAAAUUUUUACCUUCAAGGAUCAGGGUUUGUUUGUUUGUUUGUUUUUUAACACACAUAUAUGUG
rnacentral:sRNA from 1 species